rnacentral:tRNA from 1 species
GGGUGAUUAGCUCAGCUGGGAGAUCAUCUGCCUUACAAGCAGAGGGUCGGCGGUUCGAUCCCGUCAUCACCCACCA